rnacentral:rRNA from 1 species
UACGGGGGGGGCAAGCGUUGUUCGGAAUUACUGGGCGUAAAGGGUCUGUAGGUGGCCAACUAAGUCAGACGUGAAAUCCCUCAGCUUAACUGGGGAACUGCGUCUGAUACUGGUUGGCCUGAGUGCAGGAGAGGAAUGCGGAAUUCCAGGUGUAGCGGUGAAAUGCGUAGAUAUCUGGAGGAACACCGGUGGCGAAGGCGGCAUCCUGGACCGGCAUUGACGCUAAAGCGCGAAAGCCAGGGGAGCAAACGGG